rnacentral:misc_RNA from 1 species
GAAAUGCGAUAAGUAAUGUGAAUUGCAGAAUUCAGUGAAUCAUCGAAUCUUUGAACGCACAUUGCGCCCGCCAGCAUUCUGGCGGGCAUGCCUGUUCGAGCGUCAUUUCAACCCUCAAGCUCAGCUUGGUGUUGGGGCCCUACGCCUGGCGUAGUCCCCUAAAGGUAGUGGCGGACCCUCUCGGAGCCUCCUUUGCGUAGUAACUAACGUCUCGCACUGGGAUCCGGAGGGACCUCUCGCCGUAAAACCCCCAAUUUUUCUUAGGUUGACCUCGGAUCAGGUAGGAAUACCCGCUGAACUUAA